AUGGCGUUCCAUAGUUUGUUCUCAUCAUAUAGUCGUUACGGAUAGUUGGUCACGGCUGUCAGACCGGUUUGUAAAUGCUUACGUGUUAGUUCUGACCAGGCCGUGGAAGUGGGAAGGUGUUUCCGCCCAAUGUGAGAAAAUGAUAGACCUGUGUGGUGGAGAGUUUUACCUGUGUGGUUUACUGGGCCUGCGUUGUAUGUACAUUUAGUACGGGUGUUCGAAUGAUGUUCCUGUGUGGAAAGUGAGAACACAAUUUUGAGCAUUUCGACAGCGGUGACCAGCUGUGUGUGUUAUUGUAUGGCUCGAGCAGGUGCUCGCAACAUGUAUAACAUGGCGUUCUGAGAUAUUUGAACAGCGUUGGAGAACGACCUAUAGAAAUACAGGAAAUACGUUCACGGCUACAGAAACGUUGAGCGAGUGAUGGACAAAGUGUCACCACGUGUCUGAAGACAGCCAACGACUGUUGUGUAAAGUGUGGUAACUCUUUAGUCAACGUAUUUUGUUUCGCCAUCCUGUGUAACAUAUUUCGAAUUCGAGAGACAAGUCUGCUGGUUUUCUUACAUAAGGCAACAUAACGUAACAUUUAGCUUUAGUCGGGUACACGUGUAAUCGUCUGUAAAUUCAUAUUUUUGUUUUGUUUUUGUGUGUAUGCGUGUUGUUGUGUGCAUGCGUGUGUAUGAGUGUAGAUGUUACUUGCUAUAUUAGUGAGCACGAUAAUAAACUUAUUUGCACAUA